UUCUUAGACAUUUUGAUCUAUUAUUAUAUGGUUCUUUUUUCUCUUUGAUUUCUGUUUGGGAAGUUUCUAUUGACAUAUCUUCAAAUUCACUGAUUCUUUCCUUAUCUGUGUUCAGUCUACUGAGCCCACCAUAUGCAUUUUUCAUUUCUGUUAGUGGUUUUGAUUUGUAGUAUUUACUUUUUAUUCUUAGGGUUUCUGUCUUACUGCUUACAUUACCCAUCUGUUCUUGCAUGCUGUCUACUUGUUCCAUUAGGGCCCUUAAUGUAUUAAUCAUAGUUAUUUUAAAUUCUCUGUCUGAUAAUUACAAAAUCUGUGUCAUAGCUGAGUCUCCAUAUGAUUAUUGCUUUGUCUUUUGUCUCCAUUAAUCACAGCUAUUUUAAAUUCCCUUUCUGAUAAUUUCAAAAUCUGUGUCAUAUCUGAAUCUCCAUCUGAUUAUUGCCUUGUCUCUUCAGACUGUAUUUCCUCAUGUCUUUGGCAUGUUUUGUAAUUUUCUCUUGAGAAAUAGACAUCUUGCAUCAGGUAAUAGGAAAUGAAGUAAAUAUGCCUUUAGUAUGAGGAUUUAUAUCAUUCUGGCUAGGAGUUGGGCUAUGUCUAAUGUUUGCUGUAGAUACAAGUGCAAGAGACUUAAGAUUCCUCUAAUGACCUUGUUUUUGUCUCCCUUUCGUCUUGACUGUGCUGUCACCUUGGCGAGAACCUUCACUCAUUAAUACUACAUCAAGCCAAUUGCCAAGCCCUAAGAUAUCAGCUGCUAUUUCUACAUCCGGAACAUAGUCUUCAUCCAAAGGCAUGGAUUGCUAAGGUGGCAGACUCGAAGAGGAGAUAUAUUUUCAUCUGUUGUUCAUUGUUGUUGUUAGCUGCCAUCAAGUCGGCUCCAACUCCUGGCCAACUUAUGUACAACAAAACAAAAGGUUGCCCUGUCCUGUGCCAUCUUCAUGAUUGUUGAUAUGUUUAAGACCAUCGCUGUGCCCAUUAUGUCAAUCUCUCUCAGUGAGGGCUUCCCUCAUUUUAGCUAACCCUCUACUUUGCCAAACAUGAUGGGUGGUGUCAGGAUAUUUCUUACAUACUUCAAGUUAUACAUAGAAGGCAGAGAUCAACUCUAGCUGCUUAAGGCCUAAUAAUUAGCUUCCUUACCUGUUUAAAACUUACCAUCAUCAUUAUUUGAAUAAGAAGAACUCCUGUUAUUUGAGCAACUUGCUUCGCAUUUUACUCAGGUUAUAUUAAUCCUAAAAAUCUCUGCAAGGUAUUACUGUACCCCUUUUAGAGAUAAGAGAACAAAGGCUCAGAGACAUUAAGUGACAUGCCCAAAGGUACAUGAGUGGUUAAGUAUAGGAGCUUGGAUGAUAAUUCAGGCUUGUCUGUUUCCAAAGGCAGUGUUCUAAUCACUGCACACUACAGAAAUAUAACUGACAGACACCUGGUUUAUGUCAUUCCUCCUUCUAGUGUCAGCCCCAGGAGAGCAGACUCAGUGUGUGACUCUUCUUGGGAUCACCCUAAGUUCCUAGCACAGUGCUUUGAACAUAAUAUGGUCUUGAUACAUGUUGGAGGGAGGAAUAAACGGAUGUGUGAAUGCAUCAGUCAAGUCUGUAUCUUCCUCAAGGGAUGAGAUGUCACCAAUGAUGGUUGGCUGGUUUGUUUGUUGUCAUGCCAUGGCCUUAGAAGUAUUAGGGAAGUAAAACACCACAUCCACUCUUCACAGGCCAUCUCAGCAAUGUCAGUAAGUUAGAAAAACCAGGUAUCUGAAUCAUAUUCGUUUGCCCCUUCCCUUAUGCAAACAAAACUGCCUAUAAUGUCAAACAUCACCACGAGUCUGGGAUACCAGACAAUUAUAUGGUUAAUAUGACCAAGAAGAACUAUUGUUGUUAUUGUUGUAUACCAUCGAGUCAAUUCCAACUCAUAGUGGCCCCAUAGGAUAGAGUAGAACUG